AAUCCAUCAAUUAAUUAUUAGCACAGAUUUAUUAUGAACUAUUUUAAAUGGGAAAUAAGCCACAAUUUUACCAAAAAAAUGAAUUUAUUAACGUUUCGACGCCCAAGUCGGGUGUUGUUGUCAAAAUACGACACCCGACUUGGGCGUCGAAACGUUAAUAAAU